AGAGUUUGAUCCUGGCUCAGGAUGAACGCUGGCGGCGUGCCUAAUACAUGCAAGUCGAGCGAACUGAUUAGAAGCUUGCUUCUAUGACGUUAGGGGCGGACGGGUGAGUAACACGUGGGCAACCUGCCUGUAAGACUGGGAUAACUUCGGGAAACCGAAGCUAAUACCGGAUAGGAUCUUCUCCUUCAUGGGAGAUGAUUGAAAGAUGGUUUCGGCUAUCACUUACAGAUGGGCCCGCGGUGCAUUAGCUAGUUGGUGAGGUAACGGCUCACCAAGGCAACGAUGCAUAGCCGACCUGAGAGGGUGAUCGGCCACACUGGGAGUGAGACACGGCCCAGACUCCUACGGGAGGCAGCAGUAGGGAAUCUUCUGCAAUGGACGAAAGUCUGACGGAGCAACGCCGCGUGAGUGAUGAAGGCUUUCGGGUCGUAAAACUCUGUUGUUAGGGAAGAACAAGUACGAGAGUAACUGCUCGCACCUUGACGGUACCUAACCAGAAAGCCACGGCUAACUACGUGCCAGCAGCCGCGGUAAUACGUAGGUGGCAAGCGUUAUCCGGAAUUAUUGGGCGUAAAGCGCGCGCAGGCGGUUUCUUAAGUCUGAUGUGAAAGCCCACGGCUCAACCGUGGA
rnacentral:rRNA from 1 species